AGAGUUUGAUCCUGGCUCAGGACGAACGCUGGCGGCGUGCUUAACACAUGCAAGUCGCACGGGGGUUGCAAUACCUUAGUGGCGGACGGGUGCGUAACACGUGAGGAACUUGUCCAUCGGCGGGGGAUAGCCGGCCCAACGGCCGGGUAAUACCGCGUACGUCGGCGAGAUCGCAUGGUCUUGCCGGGAAAGCAGCAAUGCACCGAUGGAGAGCCUCGCGGCCUAUCAGCUUGUUGGCGGGGUAAUGGCCCACCAAGGCGACGACGGGUAGCUGGUCUGAGAGGAUGAUCAGCCACAUUGGGACUGAGACACGGCCCAGACUCCUACGGGAGGCAGCAGUGGGGAAUAUUGCGCAAUGGGCGAAAGCCUGACGCAGCGACGCCGCGUGUGGGAUGAAGGCCUUCGGGUUGUAAACCACUGUCGGGAGGGACGAAGAUCUGA
rnacentral:rRNA from 1 species